CGCCCCCAACUUUCUCCGCAGCCCCCGCCAGCGCCUCGUCCCCACCUACUCACCAGGUCCCAUGUGAUGUUGCUCCUCCGCGCUGCCGUCCUCCCCAUUCUGAACUGCCACUGGCCGCCGGCUUGAUCUUCACCAAGUCACCAUCCCCCCUGUUCUCCACUACCAUCCGUGGCCGCGCUAUCCUGCUGACAUCCUCUGCUACCUCCGCCUAGGUUACACCACCAUUAGCUCUUCCCGCUGGCAUCCUCCUCUGCACCAAGUUGCUGCGGUUUGCAACCAGUGAAAAUGCUAUUCGGCAAGUCCACUGCAGCAGUUAGCUAGAAACGAAGAUGAAGCUUCUUUGUGGGGGCUCAGUUGCUGCUCUAAAUCGAACAAUUUGGAGGAGGAAUGCGUGAGAAACAAGUCUCCCAACGAUGACAAGGGUAUGACCGGCGACAACGAGUAGGUGGCACGUGUACCACAGCGACAAGACUGAGGUAUGAAGCAGAUGUGUGUGGUGAGCUCUCGUUUCAUUAGUUCAAGUGCUUACACCUUAUAAAGUUCAGAGAAAAAACAUUAUGUUGCUUAUUGCUCGGCCCUAUAAGGAGCGAGCGGAGGAAUUCCCACCUAAUCUACCUUGUCCCUCGACCUGAUCCUCAACACCGGCCCGCCACUGCGAACUCUCCUCCCACAAUCUGCCGCCAGUGCCUCCCCCUCCCCCAGCGCGUCGCCGCGGCCCCUCCUGUCCCAGCGCGUCGACAGGGCCUCCCCCUCCCCCAGUGCGCCGUCGGGGCCUCCCCCUCCCCGCAGCGCACCGCCGUGGCAUUUGUCCAUCACACAAACAGAGUGUGAGGUACCAAAGAACGUCAGGCAGGAGGAUUUUGGAAGAAAUGACAGAGAAAGUUCGAAAAGAGUAGUCUUGGAAGUACAAGGGCAAAAGUUACUGGGUUCAAGAAAAACGAAAAUUACUUGCAUCAGCUCGUCGGAAUUGGUGUGUGUGCUUGUAACACAAUCAGUUCAGAUAUCGAGAGACCAUAAGUUUAUUGACAAAUAUGUAUAUUAGUUCAUGUCUCAAGAGUCCAUAAUUUUGUAAGGCCAAAAAAUACAAUGGCUUAGUACAUCACAGCAGCUCUUUGAUGCAGAAAGGAUGGCUCUUCUCAAGUCAGCAGCUAACCAAACUGUCAACUUUGGGGUAGCUCAGUCAAUAUAGGAGUUGUGCAGUAAACAGCUUCAGUCGAGAAAUCAGCAAGUUGUAGUGCAUAGUGUCUUCCAGGCACCUGUCCUAAUUCCUAAAAUAUUCUACUCAACUUCAGCGCCAUGCUCAGUCCAACCACAUGGCUUCAGGGUGCCCGAGUUCGUCGCCACCAUCAGUUCGGAGACUCUGCCACUGCGUGUGUCGCGACCAUGUCCACCUGCGUCACUGCGUGCUCCGUUAACAGCCUCCCGCGCAAGGAAAAGCAACAGGAGUAGAGCCGUCUAAGAUGCUCUGUUCUAGCGAGGUGGCUUAUUAUGUUUGUCAAUUUGUAGUACUUUGGCCGCAGUGUACUUGUGUAUCUUUUUCUGAACGGAGCACGACAGAGAUUAUGUCAUUAUGAACUUUGAUUGUGAUGGUACUACAAACUCUAUAAAAACACCAGUAAUCCAUUUUUACUGUUACUUAUCUUUUAUACAAUUCAUAUGGAUUGUGC
rnacentral:rRNA from 1 species